rnacentral:rRNA from 1 species
AUUGAACGCUGGCGGCAUGCCUUACACAUGCAAGUCGAACGGCAGCACGGGAGCAAUCCUGGUGGCGAGUGGCGAACGGGUGAGUAAUAUAUCGGAACGUGCCCAGUCGUGGGGAUAACGUAGCGAAAGCUACGCUAAUACCGCAUACGAUCUACGGAUGAAAGCGGGGGAUCGCAAGACCUCGCGCGAUUGGAGCGGCCGAUAUCAGAUUAGGUAGUUGGUGAGGUAAAGGCUCACCAAGCCGACGAUCUGUAGCUGGUCUGAGAGGACGACCAGCCACACUGGGACUGAGACACGGCCCAGACUCCUACGGAGGCAGCAGUGGGGAAUAUUGGACAAUGGGCGAAAGGCCUGAUCCAGC